AAAAAGGACGCACGCGGUGUAAACAAACCACAAACUACACAGCCGCUGUUUCGGGGAAUUUCAACGCGUUGUGUCGAACCGAAACAAGGAUGAUGUUAACCUUCAGCAGACGGGCUCUGGACAGAAUUUACGCAGCAUUGUCGCUGUUCAUCGUCGUCUUGUCCUGGUCUUACGUGAUCUAUGCCAGCAGAAUCGCAGCUCGUUGGAUGCUGGAGGAGAGGGCCGUUCAGCUGCAGCAAGACUGACACCUAGAAUGUGAGGUCCUCUGUGUGUGUGGACACACAGAUGCUGCUGAGGUUCAACCUCCUACACCCGUGACUCCUGAAUCAGCCCUGAUAGGAUCUGAAUGGAAACAAGGACCCCUUUAUGUAAGACAACAACAAGGGACCCUGGGGACGAAACAGGAAGUGAUGUCUCUCAGAUGAUUGGUGCUGAAUUUUGCAGAUGUUAACCCACAUCAAGAGCCUGCUUUCUGUUGACCUCUGUGAGACCUGGUAGUGUCUCCGGUAAAGGAUGUGAAAGGGGCGGAGCAACAGGACAGGACUCAGCUCGGGUUGUGUUCAUUGUGAAGUAGAAGAUGGCAUCACUGGUCUAAAUGAGUCACCAUCCAUUUCUCCUGAUGACUGAACUGAAUGUUUUAUGUAAUACUGAGGUGCACACAUUCACAGUGUGUCUGACACUGAGCUGGGGCUGAUUCACUCCAGUAUCAUAUCAUGUGCAGAUACUGUGUCAUUCACUCAUCGGUGCUCCAUGUACUCAUUCACAUUCCACAGUUUAAUGUUUUUAGGAAGUUCAAUGACUGUAUAAUAAUGCACUAUUAGACUAGAGCUAUAAUUUUGUAACAUGAAUAAAUUAAUUUAUAAAUAAACAGAUCAACAAUGUAAUCCUUUA